rnacentral:rRNA from 1 species
UACGUAGGGGGCAAGCGUUGUCCGGAUUUAUUGGGCGUAAAGAGCGUGUAGGCGGCCUUGCAAGUCCGUUGUGAAAACUCGAGGCUCAACCUCGAGACGCCGGUGGAAACUGCAAAGCUAGAGUCCGGAAGAGGAGAGUGGAAUUCCUGGUGUAGCGGUGAAAUGCGCAGAUAUCAGGAGGAACACCCGUGGCGAAAGCGGCUCUCUGGGCCGGAACUGACGCUGAGGAGCGAAAGCGUGGGUAGCAAACAGG